UCUGCGUCUAUUGCAUGUAUUUCUGAAAAAUCAUUGAUUAAACUGACCAAAUGUCAAUGAUGUCAAGGUCUGUAAAGCAACUACACAGGAUACAACUAGAAAGUGAGUAUGGUUAUAUGCACAAGUAGUUCAUUCUCCUUGUAGCCAUUGCCAAAUGCAUAGAAUUUAAGCUUCAGUCCAUCUUCCAUGCAUAGAGCAAAAGGCAGAAUUCUGGUGUUGAUGUAUUACUCGUCGUUGAAAAAUACUUGCUCCCGUCGCUGGUAUCACUGUUGCCAUCUUUGUCAUCAUCAGUCUCAGGUGCCCAUGGUUUAAAUACGAACACCCCAUGACCUGCUCCAGGGCUAUUAAACAACCAAUCAUGAACAUCCCACAAAACUUGCACCUGUUGCUUAUUCAGAAUCACAGUUUGGUUCCCUCUGAAUUUCCACUGCAAGUUCUUAACAUGAAUCACCACAAUUCCAUCUAUGCUAAUCCACAUCUCAGGUUCUUUAGGUCCUGAAGUUGAACUCUCUACAACAAUGUCAUGUUCUUGUUUCCUUUCGUCGAAUUUAGCUCUGGUAGAGAAUGAUUUCUUGGCAAAUACAUUUUCCUUCUUGUAAAAUAAGGUGGGAUCCACUAGAGCAGGUCUUGCUUUUGUUCUUUUAUAAGCCUUAUUCUUGUAAUCUCCUAACAAUAAUACAACCUCUCCAUCUGAAACUAAAGCAACAUAAUAAUCGCUGCACGGCUCUGGGCUACCAGAAAAUCUAGCAGAACGUAGAUCCCAAUGGAUAUCAACAUGGCAUCCUUCGAGCUCAAAUGACUUGCUCCCUUUUUUGCUCCAGAAAAGCCAUGGUUUGAGGUCAAUCUUGCAACUGUAAUAGAUGUCACCACCUUCAGGGUUAUUGAAGAUGAGAUUGAGAGAAUGAUUCAUAAGGUUCCUGCACCAUGAAACUGUAACAUUACAACAUGCUGCCGACAUAUGCGUCUGGUAUAAGCAGGUUACCAUGCUCUGAGGCGUUUUAUUGGUUGCUGGAUCAUCUACUAUUUUCUCUGCUAAAUGUGUGGAUGAUUGAGCCCCCACUGAGAAGGCUCUCAAUGGAUGUGGGAAAGACAUUGACUUUUAAAGCUAUGAUUUUGUGGGCUGUCAAUAAGCAACAUCAAAUGUUACAAGUUAUUAAAUCACAUGUUUAAUGUUGCAGUACCAGGAUAGGACUUGCAGUGAAAAACAUCCCUCAUCUUUCUGGAUUAUGAAUUAGGACAAGAACAAGAACUCUCAUGUUAUCUCAACAAGGAAAUAAUCCUUUUUGCCAGCAAAAAAUUGAGCUACAAAGAUCUUGAUGCUAAACAAGAACCACCUGAAUAUUGCCUCUGUUAGUUUGAUGUAGUCUUUUAUUGCAGCUACAGAAACAGAAGCAGAAACAAUUUUCCAGGAAAAUGGUUCCAGAA
rnacentral:misc_RNA from 1 species